CCCUGCCACAUUUCUGCUCCUUACGACGCGUGUUGUCCUCCCACCAUACCACAAACUUCCAAUUUCAUUCCCCUAAUCACGAUAUCCAGCACCAGAUCCCCAAAUCAAGAACAGUCCUUAGUCUCUUUCAUCCAACCAAGCCCUAAUUCCAUCAAAUCCAUCUGGAAACGGCGUCGGUUUACCGCCCGGUUUCCUCGAUCCGACGACGACAAAAAGCACGGCGGCGACCACCAGAAGCAUCUUAGCCACUGUGUACCAGACCACAAGAAGCACGGAGAUGACCACCAUAGCUUCGUAGGUCACGAUUUCAGUCUACGGAUUUGUCUUUCUUUUUGCUCUACAUGUGGUUCAUCUUCUUACUUUUCUUGCUCUGAUCGGUCUUUGCACGGAAUUAAUGCAGUUGAUAAAAGUUUCUUUUAUGUUUGAUCUAACUAGCAGGUGCACCCCCCACAAUGUUCCGGUCUUCGAGAAUGUAUAUGCAAGCAAGAAAAUGGAAUAAGGUUCGUUCUCGAGGAGGUGAAGAAGCAUGUGAGCAGUUUUCGAAAUACAGUUACAGUGAAGAAUCGAUAGGUUCGUUCGGCCUUUGCAUCCAACUCCACACACAGAGCCUUAUCUGUUGAAAUCGGCUGAAAAAACUUGAAGGAACUACCUGCCGUUGUAAAUAAAAAACAACAUACGUUUGCAAGCUGCUAGCCUGCUACACAUCAACGACUUUCAAAUGAUUAUCUACUAAUUGCCAUAAGUGGUGGGUUGAACCGACAAAGAACAGGGGAUACUUCUUCUGUAGCUGGACAAGCAAGGAAACAAGCUUUUAGAGCGUCAUUUGUUAACACAAGUUAGGACGCUUUAGAGAAUUAAGUAUGCGACUUCAAAAUAUCUAGCCAUUCAAUGAUAAGUUUAUCAGUAGUAAUACGGAAUAUUGCAGCAUGAAUUUUUUGCUUCAACAUGUUGAGUUUUGUACAAUUUUUUGUAGUAACAUAACUUGUAAACACAGCAUUUGAUUUAGCGACGUUUGUACAACUUAUGUAGCUAGCUUUCGUGCCCCGCCGCAAAUGCGGCGGGUACUAAUUCUAGUUUAAUAUAGUUAGUUAUUGAAGAUGAAACUACCAAUUAAUGAUGUAUGUAAGUUUACUAGUAUGCCCUUAUAGUUACAUUAAGUACAAAUAUUAAAUGAAGUCUAAUGAAGCAUUCCUAUUGGUUGAAAUUUCUUCUUUUUUCUUUUU
rnacentral:lncRNA from 1 species